rnacentral:rRNA from 1 species
CUACGGGAGGCAGCAGUAGGGAAUCUUCCGCAAUGGGCGAAAGCCUGACGGAGCAACGCCGCGUGAGUGAUGAAGGUCUUCGGAUCGUAAAACUCUGUUAUUAGGGAAGAACAUAUGUGUAAGUAACUGUGCACAUCUUGACGGUACCUAAUCAAAAAGCCACGGCUAACUACGUGCCAGCAGCCGCGGUAAUACGUAGGUGGCAAGCGUUAUCCGGAAUUAUUGGGCGUAAAGCGCGCGUAGGCGGUUUUUUAAGUCUGAUGUGAAAGCCCACGGCUCAACCGUGGAGGGUCAUUGGAAACUGGAAAACUUGAGUGCAGAAGAGGAAAGUGGAAUUCCAUGUGUAGCGGUGAAAUGCGCAGAGAUAUGGAGGAACACCAGUGGCGAAGGCGACUUUCUGGUCUGUAACUGACGCUGAUGUGCGAAAGCGUGGGGAUCAAACAGGAUUAGAUACCCUGGUAGUCC